CCAAGGAUGAGGUCGCGACCGAUCAGGUUGUUGGUGAGGUAAUGGCUCACCAAGCCUUUUACCGGUGCGGGCCGUGAGAGCGGGAGCCCGGAGAUGGGCACUGAGACAAGGGCCCAGGCCCUACGGGGCGCAGCAGUCGCGAAAACUUUGCAAUACACGAAAGUGUGACAGGGCUAUCCCGAGUGCCAUCCGCUGAGGAAGGCUUUUACCCAGUCUAGAACGCUGGGGGAAUAAGGAGAGGGCAAGUCUGGUGUCAGCCGCCGCGGUAAUACCAGCUCUCCGAGUGGUGUGGAUGUUUAUUGGGCCUAAAGCAUCCGUAGCUGGCUGAGUUAGUCCCUUGUUAAAUCCACCGAAUUAAUCGUUGGAUUGCGGGGGAUACUGCUCGGCUAGGGGACGAGAGAGGCAGACGGUAUUUCUGGGGUAGGGGUGAAAUCCUAU
rnacentral:rRNA from 1 species